GGUCAAGUGACUAAGUGCAUGUGGUGGAUGCCUUGGCGAUUACAGGCGACGAAGGACGUGAUAGCCUGCGAAAAGCUC
rnacentral:rRNA from 1 species